UACGGAAGGCAGCAGUGGGGAAUAUUGCACAAUGGGCGCAAGCCUGAUGCAGCCAUGCCGCGUGUAUGAAGAAGGCCUUCGGGUUGUAAAGUACUUUCAGUCGUGAGGAAGGUGUUAAGGUUAAUAACCUUAGCAAUUGACGUUAGCGACAGAAGAAGCACCGGCUAACUCCGUGCCAGCAGCCGCGGUAAUACGGAGGGUGCGAGCGUUAAUCGGAAUUACUGGGCGUAAAGGGCACGCAGGCGGUUAAUUAAGUUGGAUGUGAAAUCCCCGGGCUUAACCUGGGAAUGGCAUUCAAGACUGGUUAGCUAGAGUCUUGUAGAGGGGGUAGAAUUCCAUGUGUAGCGGUGAAAUGCGUAGAGAUGUGGAGGAAUACCGGUGCGAAGCGGCCCCUGGACAAGACUGACGCUCAUGUGCGAAAGCGUGGGGAGCAAAC
rnacentral:rRNA from 1 species